GGGGAAUAUUGCACAAUGGGGGAAACCCUGAUGCAGCAACGCCGCGUGAGUGAUGACGGUCUUCGGAUUGUAAAGCUCUGUCUUCAGGGACGAUAAUGACGGUACCUGAGGAGGAAGCCACGGCUAACUACGUGCCAGCAGCCGCGGUAAUACGUAGGUGGCAAGCGUUGUCCGGAUUUACUGGGCGUAAAGGGAGCGUAGGUGGAUAUUUAAGUGGGAUGUGAAAUACUCGGGCUUAACCUGGGUGCUGCAUUCCAAACUGAAUAUCUAGAGUGCAGGAGAGGAAAGUAGAAUUCCUAGUGUAGCGGUGAAAUGCGUAGAGAUUAGGAAGAAUACCAGUGGCGAAGGCGACUUUCUGGACUGUAACUGACACUGAGGCUCGAAAGCGUGGGGAGCAAACAG
rnacentral:rRNA from 1 species